CGCGUAGGCGGCCUUUUAAGUCGGAUGUGAAAGCCCGGGGCCUAACCCCGGAAGUGCAUUCGAUACUGAGAGGCUUGAGUAUGGGAGAGGGAAGUGGAAUUCCUGGUGUAGAGGUGAAAUUCGUAGAUAUCAGGAGGAACACCCGUGGCGAAGGCGACUUCCUGGACCAAUACUGACGCUGAGGCGCGAAGGCGUGGGGAGCAAACA
rnacentral:rRNA from 1 species